CAAGAAACCCUAAUCUGAUUACAGCCCUUCCCUCCAGCCGCCACCAGCAUCCCUCCUCCGGCCAGCACAGUCUCUACACAAAGGGUAAAAAAAAAGAUGAAUCAAACAAAAAGCAAUGGAUUCAUUGAAGAAGAAAAGAUAGAUAGGCAGAUUCUCUUAAUGAUUGCAACUGCACUAGGUUUGGAUUUCACGGGCCAUGAAGAUUUGUGUACAUAUUAACAAUUUGUAGAGUCCAUCAGUUCACUUUCAUUUGUCCACAGGUGUACAUAUUAACAAUUUGUCCAUAAUGGGGCUAGAACUCGAUCAUAAGUGGCGGAUUGACCGGGCGCACAUAUCUUUAGUGUUAAAGAUGCAGUGGACAAACUAACCCAUACUUGUAACCCAAUAUUGUUUGACCCUGUGCAUUUUAAAAAAUUGUAUUUUUGGACAAAAACAUUACAUGGAGAAAAAGGCAUGCCUGUGAAAGCCGGAAAGUAGUGUUAUGAGUUUAUUUUACCUGAAGUCUCGAAUAUACCAACUUUCUUGUAUCAUCAGAUAUAGUGAGUAGACACGCAGAGUAUCCCGAAAAUAGAUUGAACAAUUAUUCAACUCAAGAAUAAACACCUCCAAGGUGGCCUAAUGGC